rnacentral:rRNA from 1 species
AACGAACGCUGGUGGCAUGCCUAAUACAUGCAAGUCGAACGAGAAAGCACUUCGGUGUGAGUAGAGUGGCGCACGGGUGAGUAACGCGUAGGUAACGUGCCUUGAAGUGGGGGACAACAUCGGGAAACCGGUGCUAAUACCGCAUAAGCAAGCAAUUGGAAAGUGGGCUUCGGCUCACGCUUUAAGAUCGGCCUGCGUGACAUUAGCUUGAUGGUGGGGUAAUGGCCUACCAUGGCGACGAUGUCUAGCUGGUCUGAGAGGAUGAUCAGCCACACUGGAACUGAGACACGGUCCAGACUCCUACGGGAGGCAGCAGUAGGGAAUAUUGCGCAAUGGGGGAAACCCUGACGCAGCAAUGCCACGUGAGUGAGGAAGGUCUUCGGAUUGUAAAGCUCUGUUCUAAGGGAAGAAAGGCAUUAUGGUUAAUACCCAUAGUGUUUGACGGUACCUUAGAAGAAAGCACCGGCUAACUCCG